rnacentral:lncRNA from 1 species
UCUGGAAUGCUUCUAGAGACGUUAAAUGUAACAGUUCCAACAAGAGGCCUCCUGGGAUAUCGAAAUCCUCCAUUGCCGAUGAUUUGAUUUCGAGGCUUUUGCUUUUGCUUUUGAAAUGGUGCCUCCCUCUUCGCCUUUUCCAGCUAGAUAACCUUUUAAAGGAAAAGGAAAAAUGUCAAGUGGGCAAGCCUUAAAUCAUAAAGUUUCUUCUACUCACAACUACAAGUUUUAUUCAGUCCCCG